CCUACGGGCGUCAGCAGUAGGGAAUAUUGCUCAAUGGGGGAAACCCUGAUGCAGCAACGCCGCGUGGGGGAUGAAGGUUUUCGGAUUGUAAACUCCUUUUGUUAGAGAAGAUAAUGACGGUAUCUAACGAAUAAGCAACGGCUAACUCCGUGCCAGCAGCCGCGGUAAUACGGAGGGGGCAAGCGUUAUUCGGAAUCACUGGGCGGAAAGAGCGCGUAGGCGGGAUAGCAAGUCAGAUGUGAAAGCCUAUGGCUUAACCAUAGAACUGCAUUUGAAACUGUGAUUCUAGAGUAUAGGAGAGGUAGGUGGAAUUCUAGGUGUAGGGGUAAAAUCCGUAGAGAUCAAGAGGAAUACGCAUUGCGAAGGCGACCGGCUAGAACAUAACUGACGCUGAGGCGCGAAAGCGUGGGUAGCAAACAGGAUUAGAUACCCGUGUAGUC
rnacentral:rRNA from 1 species